GACCGAACCGACUAAUGUUGAAAAAUUAGCGGAUGACUUGUGGCUGGGGGUGAAAGGCCAAUCAAACCGGGAGAUAGCUGGUUCUCCCCGAAAGCUAUUUAGGUAGCGCCUCGUGAAUUCAUCUCCGGGGGUAGAGCACUGUUUCGGCAAGGGGGUCAUCCCGACUUACCAACCCGAUGCAAACUACGAAUACCGGAGAAUGUUAUCACGGGAGACACACGGCGGGUGCUAACGUCCGUCGUGAAGAGGGAAACAACCCAGACCGCCAGCUAAGGUCCCAAAGUCAUGGUUAAGUGGGAAACGAUGUGGGAAGGCCCAGACAGCCAGGAUGUUGGCUUAGAAGCAGCCAUCAUUUAAAGAAAGCGUAAUAGCUCACUGGUCGAGUCGGCCUGCGCGGAAGAUGUAACGGGGCUAAACCAUGCAC
rnacentral:rRNA from 1 species